AUGAAUAUCCUCAGUUGGAACUGCCGAGGGGGAGGAAACCCUCGGACAGUUCGUGAUCUCGUGAGUCUAGCAAAGACUCAUUCCCCUUGUAUCGUUUUUCUUUGUGAAACUAGGCAGUCUAGGAAUAAAAUGAAAAGUUACCAUGCUCGGUUAGGUUUAAGUGGUUUUGAUGGUAUUGAUAGUGUUGGUCUUAGUGGAGGUCUCGCCUUGUAUUGGCAUGAGUCUUUGAGUCUGGAUGUAAAAGAAAUGAAUGAACGAUAUAUUGAUGCAUAUGUGAAUUCUUUGGCGUGUGAGCCAACUUGGAGACUCACUUGCGUCUACGGUGAACCGCAGACAGAGGACCAUCAUCACAUGUGGUCCCUCCUCCGUAAUCUUCACCAGCGGGCUGAUAUGCCUUGGAUGGUGAUUGGGGACUUCAACGAGGCCAUGUGGAGCUUCGAACACUUCUCCGAAAUACCUUGUGCGGCAGGUCGGAUGACCGAUUUUCGAGAUAUUUUGGAAAUUUGUGGCCUCGGUGAUCUCGGUUUUGCAGGGCUCCCGUAUACAUACAUAACCGGAUAA
rnacentral:rRNA from 1 species